rnacentral:rRNA from 1 species
GACGAACGCUGGCGGCGUGCCUAACACAUGCAAGUCGAGCGGGGUUAUUGGGGUUCAGCUUGCUGAACGCCACUGACCCAGCGGCGGACGGGUGAGUAACGCGUGAGCAAUCUGCCUCAUACAGGGGGAUAACAGGCGGAAACGCCUGCUAAUACCGCAUAAGACCACGCCACCGCAUGGUGGAGCGGUCAAAGGGUGCACAGACGAGAGGCUGUGCAUACCGGUAUGAGAUGAGCUCGCGUCCCAUUAGCUUGUUGGUGAGGUAACGGCUCACCAAGGCGACGAUGGGUAGCCGACCUGAGAGGGUGAUCGGCCACACUGGGACUGAGACACGGCCCAGACUCCUACGGGAGGCAGCAGUGGGGAAUAUUGCGCAAUGGGGGGAACCCUGACGCAGCAACGCCGCGUGAGCGAAGAAGGCCUUCGGGUCGUAAAGCUCUGUCAUAGGGGAAGAGGAGAAGACGGUACCCUAUGAGGAAGCCCCGGCUAACUACGUG